GGACCCUAUAGUUCAGUUGGUUAGAGCACUGCACCGGAAUCGUAGCCCGGAGGUUCGAUUCCUGCCAGAGGGUCUA